CACAAAUUGAGUAGGGCACAAAUC
rnacentral:siRNA from 1 species